rnacentral:misc_RNA from 1 species
GAUGAAGAACGUAGCGAAAUGCGAUAAGUAAUGUGAAUUGCAGAAUUCCGUGAAUCAUCGAAUCUUUGAACGCACAUUGCGCCCCCUGGUAUUCCGGGGGGCAUGCCUGUCCGAGCGUCAUUGCAACCCUCAAGCGCGGCUUGUGUGUUGGGCCCUCGUCCCCCGUGGACGUGCCCGAAAUGCAGUGGCGGCGUCGUGUUCCGGUGCCCGAGCGUAUGGGGCUUUGUCACCCGCUCUUGAGGCCGGGCCGGCUCCGGCCCAUCAACCAUCGAGGACCCGUUCCUCAACCAGGUUGACCUCGGAUCAGGUAGGGAUACCCGCUGAACUUAAGCAUAUCAAUAAGCGGAGGA